UUUUAAACAUAAUAGCUACUCCUCUUGAAUUUGAAGAAAAGGAUGAAAAGUAGCAUUCAUAUCCCCAUAACGUUCUUAUACUAUUUUCUUUAUCCACUGUGAAAUGAGUGUCUUGUAGACAGUAAAUGUUAUGGUUCCCAGAUUUUAGAAAACUAAAUACAUCCCUCCUUUUAGAUAAAUCACCCAGACCCUGACAGUUAACAG
rnacentral:lncRNA from 1 species